AUUGCAUGCUUUGACUUCAAUCUCCUUAUUAUUACUUAAUUAUCUUUGAUAUAAUCUCCUUAUUGCUUAAUUACUUUGAUAUAAUCUCCUUGUUAUUGCUUAAUUACUUUGAUAUAAUCUCCUUGUUAUUGCUUAAUUACUUUUAUAUAAUCUCCUUAUUAAUGCUUAAUUACUUUUAUAUAAUCUCCUUAUUGCUAGAAAAGAAAAUAUUAUAAUCAACUGCAUAUAGUAUAAUUUGAUUAUAAAUCUCCUAAUUGCUUAAAUUUCUACAUUUUUUUUAUUGUUUUGAUGAGAUAGUUCGAACAUAUAUUUCACCGAUGGUGAUUUUGGCAUAAUAGAAUUUUAUUUGAUCCAAUGUGAUGUAUUUGUUAGGUUUAAUUUAUAUUUUAGAUGUCGUGUGAUUUUAAAUCAAUGAAUUAAUGUAUCAUUUGUUGGUGAUUGUUAGGCUAUGAAGUGUGAAGGAUGUAAGGUUUGGAUUUUUUUCUGAGAGUUACAAAAGUCCUAUGCUUGAAUGUUAGUUCAGUGGCAUCUGUAAGUUAUGAUAAUAAUGUACUAGAACGUUUUCAAGGUAUGGAGAGAUUUAAGGAGCCAUGGAGGUCUAGAGUAGUGUUAGCGAGUCGAGGGGAGUUGAAGAAUUUAAACUUUGGUUGAUUUGUGUGUUUUACGAAUAGGUUGUAGUGAUGGACUCAUGGUUAUGUCAUUAUGUGACAGGAUGAUAUAAGGUUUGGGUUUGACACUUCUUUUCAGUGUCCUCUAUCUUUACUCUUGUGAUCCUUAUUAAUUUCUCAUUUUGUGUCUCAUCUAUGCCUUUUUCUAAUGCAAGAGUGGGAAGAGGAGGAGUAAUGCCGGCUCACAUUUGCCAAUGUUUGAACCGUCUCUUAACACUUCGAAGCAAUUCCACGGUGACAAUUGCGAAUGAACGACGAAAGUCAGGCAAGGAGUUCGUAGAAAGUGUGUUGAGUCUUGCUUAUAAGCUCAGCGAAAUGGGCCUCCGUCGUGGUCACAUUGUUGCCAUUUGUGCUUUUAACAGUGAUUGGUAUCUGGGAUGGCUACUUGCUGUUGCAUAUGUUGGGGGGAUAAGUGCUCCUCUUAAUUAUCGUUGGAGUUUGGAGGAGUCAAGACUGGCACUGGAAGUCAUUCAACCAGCAAUGAUAGUCACUGAUGAAUCUUGCAAGUGGUUGUCAGAAUUGCAAAAGGGUACCAUAUUUUCUCCAAGGUGGCAUGUGUAUAUUGGAAAUCAUUAUUCAUCUUUAAAUGGUAUACAAGGAUGUAAGAGGCCAUUCCUAAAUUUUCAAACUGUCAAAUACUGCUGGGCACCUGAAGAUGUGGCUAUUAUAUGUUUCACUUCAGGGUCCACUGGCAAACCGAAAGGAGUUGCUAUAAGCCAUACUUCCUUAAUCAUGCAAUCCUUGGCAAAAAUUGCUGUUGUGGGUUACACAGAAGAUGAUGUUUACUUGCACACUGCCCCACUGUGCCACAUAGGUGGGAUAUCCUCGUGCAUAGCCAUGCUACUGGCUGGAGGUUGUCAUGUAUUGAUACCCAAGUUUGAAGUUACAUUGGCAGUGAAAGCCAUAGAGGAAAACCAUGUAACUUCAUUUAUCACUGUUCCGGCAAUACUCGCUUCUCUGGUUUCUAUGAUGAGGUACAAUGAAUCAAGGAAACCGAAACAAAGCGUAAGGAAGAUUUUAAAUGGUGGUGGGAGCCUUUCAGUUCAACUUGUUGACGAUGCCAUAAGAUGUUUUCAUAGUGCCACACUUCUCUCUGCUUAUGGUAUGACGGAGGCCUGUUCUUCUCUUACCUUCAUCACCCUCUAUGAUCCAGCUGUUAACAAUGCUAACCAGCACCUAAUGGAAGUAAGCGAGAUUACACCCAUCUCUGUACACCCAAUAGGAGGUAUCUGUGUUGGGAAGCCAGCACCUCAUGUUGAGAUAGUGAUAAACAGAGAGGAGGAAUCUUCUCAUGUGGGGAGGAUUAUGACUCGGGGUUCCCAUGUUAUGAUUCGUUAUUGGGGUCAGAGUAGUGCUGUAGAAAUUGAUUCAGGUGCAGACUGGUUUGACACUGGUGAUAGUGGACACAUUGAUGUACAUGGGAAUUUGUGGCUUGUCGGCCGUAGGAAUUCUCGUAUCAAAAGUGGAGGGGAGAAUGUGUAUCCUGAAGAGGUGGAGGUCGUGUUAUCUCAACAUCCUGGAAUUUCGGUUGUGGUAGUCAUCGGACUCCCACAUGCACGUCUAGGUGAAAUGGUUGUUGCUUGUGUUCAAAUUACAGAAAACUGGAUCUGGACUGACUCUGCGCUGCCAAGCAAUGUGGAAUGCCACUUAUCUACUAGCGUGCUAAAGGAGUAUUGUCGAAUUAAAAGUUUAACUAGGUUUAAGAUACCUAAAGCUUUUAUGAUAUGGAGGAAGCCUUUCCCACUUACAAGCACAGGAAAAGUUAAGCGAAAUGAAGUUAAGACAGAGGCUAUGUUGCAUCUACAACCUUUACUUUGUAAUCUUUAAGCUGAAAUGCUGGAUACACUCUCCUCAGCCUUUAUGCACUGCUAUUAAACAUAUAUCAUCAACAUCAGUCGAAAUUGGCUAUUUAGGAAGUAGUUCAUGGGAGAAUAGGGACUUCCUCACAAUCUUAAGCUUGGAGCUCGAUGGCCAGCAAUCAGAGACACGAGAGUAGGGAAGAGCAGGAGGUGUUACCGGACAUCUAAUCCAGUCUGAUAAGUUUGGAAUGGACUAUAUAUAUUGAACUCUAACUUUUCGCGGUCCACUUACAUCUCUAAUGCAUAUUGCUGAAUGAUGAUAAUUCCUCGAUCUCGUCUUGAGGAAUGAUAAAUUUAUGAUGGGUAUAUUCCAUUUGCCAGAUAUCCAUAUAGUGUAUGUAUUGCAUCAUAGUGUAUGUGUUGCACCAUGGUGUUUGUGUUUCUUUUCUUCUUUUUUUUUUUACACAAAUACUAUAUGAACACUGUUAUAGUCUUAUCAUCUCUCGUUCUUCAUAUGGUGGAAAGAAAGCUAAAAUCGAUGCUUAAAAUUGAAAUGUUAUUCGUGAUUAUUUAUUUUUGCAUUAUA